GACAGAGGGGGCAAGCGUUGCUCGGAAUCACUGGGCGUAAAGGGCGCGUAGGCGGGAUGGCAAGUCAGUCGUGAAAUCUCUCGGCUCAACCGAGAAACGUCGGCUGAUACUGCCGUUCUUGAGGGAUGCAGAGGAGACUGGAAUUCCCGGUGUAGCGGUGAAAUGUGUAGAGAUCGGGAAGAACACCAAUGGCGAAGGCAGUCGGCUGGGCCGUUGCUGACACUGAGGCGCGACAGCGUGGGGAGCAAACAGG
rnacentral:rRNA from 1 species